GCACUGGUCGUCCAGCGGCAGGAUACCGCCGUCGUAACGCGGUGACGUGGGUUCGAGUCCCACCCGGUGCU
rnacentral:tRNA from 1 species